rnacentral:lncRNA from 1 species
UUUGGUGGGCGAAUUUUAUGUAGCCCGCCCCUCUCUAAAUUUAGGGUUUUGAUCAUUUUAACCCGUCUCUAAAAUUAUACCCCACAUGUCGAAGAACCACUCUGAUAAAAAUCUCUGACCAUAUCGAGGCUCUUCAAAUUUGUACCAGUUCGCUCGUCGUGAUAUAGAUCUUGACCGUACUGGUAUACUCUUACAGUUUUCUAAACAGUGCCACACUUUCCUUUUUUUCCUCACAGGUACACACACAAAAACUUCGGUUGAUGUUCAAAUUGAUGUGUUUAUCUUUCUGUUUGAGAUUAUAUGUUCAAUUUCAUAAUUUGUUAUAUCAUAAGAACGCCCCUAACCCUAAUUCAUUAUUGGGUGUCUUCUCUUAAAAAAUGUAUCAUCCUGGUGGUGCGUUGAUGUUGCAUAGUGUGUUUGCAAGUUUGUUAUAUUAACCUUUGUUCUUUGGUGGUGACUAUUUAUUUAAUUUAAGGAAUCUACAAAUUCUGCUAUUCAGGCACUGUGCUUAGGUUUUGUUUCUGAUGCAACUAUGUAUGAAUCUUUGUUUAAUUACCCUAAUGUAUUAAUGAUUGAAUUAUGUACCUUUGUUUUAAAUUUUAAUAGUGAUUAAUUAGGACAAAAAUCGUUACAUUAGUAGAAAAAUCGAAAGUUCAUGGUUUGUCAAUUUUUAUUUUUGUAAAUCUGUAUGCAUAUCCCUCUUUUAGGUUAUUUAAGUUUACAUCGUAAUUGUACUUCUUGUUGUUUAAUCCCUAGAAUUGGUAUCAAUGUUUGAACCCCGAGUGCACAUCUUUACCAAUUACCAUUAGAAGUCCAAAAGCAUGCGACUUUUUUUAGAGCAGGUGGAACACAGUACAUAAAACUAAUAAUUAGUUCAAGAAAAUUUUAAUUGCGAAUUGUUAAGUUUAAUUCGGUUGUUUGAGCUUCUGGUUAAUAGGGAGGUCAUGCGACAUUUAUUGAUUUUAAUCUUGUAGCAAUGUCAUUUGUGUUAUUUUAUGCAAAGUAAAAUACAUAUAAAAAGAACUUGGCACAUGCUAUAUAUACAUUUUAGAAAUAUGAUCAUAAAACAAACAUCGAGAUCAAGGGGAGAGUAGAAGGAAGCAAGUCAAUAAAGUAAUUUUUUUACAUUGGAUCCCAUUAAUCUUUUAGGAGAGAUUAGAAGAAAGCAAGUCAAUAAAGUAUAUUUUUUUCUUUGUCAUCUUGUAGUUGAUCAAAUGGUAAACUAGCUAUCUUUUACGAGUAACGGGUCAAAACAUGUAGUUUAAAAUAUUAAUUUGGUUUGUUACAAAAUAGAUCAGAGCAAAAGGAUUCGUUUGAAACAUGUCUUUUAGAAAAAUGAGGAAUAUAAAAAUAAUUAGGCCAACUAUAUUUGAUUCAAAGAUAUUUGCUACUUUGAUUUUAUCCAAUAUAAUUAUUAUUAGUUUUAAGAAUAAAGUUUAGUUUGUUCUGAUCAUGGGUAUUAAAAGGAUUCAUCCUUUGCGAAUAGCUUGUCUUCAUGUUAAAUCCAGAACUUAUAGGUAGCAGCCUAGCUAACAAGAUGACAUUUGAAGGUCUCAUUUCAUUGUUUAUGUUGUUAAUUUGAUCUGUUCUGAAAAGAUAAAAAACUGCAGCAAUAAGCACAAGGCCGCGGGUUCGAAUCUGCUCCCAAGCGCCAAUCGCCUUGCUGCUGAGUUACACAAUCAAGUUAUAUAACCCCAAUACACAUGGCCUAAGGUGGGUUAAGCCUGUGUGGUUUGCAUUAAAGAACAGAGGUGGAUCCAGCCGUUUAUAUUUUAUAGUCUCGUCUCUAGCUAUCUAGAUAAAGCGUGUUUUUUCUUCUAUGUCUCUUCUUCAUAAAUAAAGUGUCACGUGCAGUUGUGAAUACAAAGAUGGAUAAUUCCAAUCCACGUACAAGAUAAUCAAGGAAGUUGGUAAUGGAACCUUUGGGGUUGUCUAUCGGGCUAUAAGUUAACAUAAUGGUGAAGUGGUUGCCAUUAAGAAAAUGAAGAGAAAAUAUUAUUCGUGGAAGAAUGCAUAAAUUUGAGAGAAGUCAAGAUUGAAAUGUUGAACUUGGUUAUCAAGGAGCUCGCUAAGGAAAAUAAUGAAGAAAAAGAAAUGUAAAAUGAAAUUGUUGGCUGAAAAAGAUAAAGUGGAUGAAGAUGCUAAACUUACGAUUCGAAGAUAGCUAUAAACACUUAGUUUUGAAGGUUUCGAUGUUUAUUAUAUAACGAUAGUUUCGGUUACUUGAUAUUUUAGUUUGUAUUUUUGUUAGAAUGUUUUAUGACUUUGAAAUAGGAAAAACUGAAAUAGAGAUGUUUUGUAUAAUUUUAUGAUUUGUAAUUUUAUGGAAUGUUUUAUAUAAAUUUGUAAUUUAAUUGAAUUGUAGUU